rnacentral:lncRNA from 1 species
UAGAAUCCAUUUUUCAUCGGUAUACACACCACAGGGUAAUGGGCAAGUAGAGGUCACAAACAGAGUCAUUGUUCAGGGACUGAAGAAAAAUGUCGAACAGGCCAAAGGUUCGUGGGCAGAUCUACUACCAGAGAUCCUGUGGGCGUAUAGAACCACUGAAAAGACACCCACCGAUGAAACUCCGUUCUCACUAGCAUAUGGAAUGGAAGCACUAAUCCCAACAGAGCUAAGCAUUCCAACAGUCAGAGUGUUAUCCUAUGACAUGGAAGAAAACAUGAGAUCAUGUGCGACAACUCUAGACUUGGUAGAUGAGCUAAGGGAUAAUGCACAGGCAAAGAAUGCAGCUUACAAGCAAAGUAUCGCUAGAUAUCACGAUAAGAAUGUCAAGGAUAAAGCGAUAAGGAAAGGAAGCCUAGUAUGGAGAAGAGCAAGUGUCGGCAGAAAGGACUGCUCUAAAGGCAAACUAGACGCAAAUUGGGAAGGACCAUAUGUGGUGGAGGAGGAACUCCGACCAGGCAUGUACAAGUUAAAACGGGAAGAUGGAACAGGCAUCCCAAACACUUGGCACGCAGAUAACCUACAGUUGUAUUUUUAACGAUCAAGUAGGAUUAUAUUACUCUUGUAAUAGUUUGAACUACUUAACUAAUAUGUUGUUAUUAGUAAUCAAAACACUUAAAAAUACAUUCCAUAUAUUGAUUUAACAAGAAUUACAGAGGAAUGUAAAUACAGGUUACUAUAAUAACAAGAAUAAGAUAGAGGAUCAAUCUAUUUAGGAGGAGGGGGCAAAUCUUUAGAACCCGUUGCACCAUUGUUAUCUUGAUCUUCUACAGAAAAAUCUUUAUCAAUGGUGGCAGUAGUGUUGUCUCCCAAAGCCUCCUCUUCUUCAUCUUCUUCAUCCUUUUCUUCCGCAAGUGUCCGAUUCCGGACAUCAGUAGCUUCUUUUGGGUACUUGCGGGCCCAGUUAUGGACAUCCUCAGCCUCGAAACCAGGACAGACAUGAGGACCCAGAUCCACCAGAUCAUUGUAAUCUCGCACGUUGGCGAGAAAAUCAACUUUAAGCUUCUUCAAAUGAUCGAUCAUGCGUUGAAGCUCCUCAGUCAUAUGUUGGAUCUCCUCAGUCUUCUCCUGGUCUACUCCCUCCAGUUGCUUUAUCUCAGCUUGGCAAUCAUCCAGCGACUGGGAGAGCUUCUUCCUUUCCUCUUCCCCUUCGUUCAACCGUCGAGUAAAUAUAUCAUUUUGCACUCUAGUAGAACGAAGGUUUGCCUCAAUAUUCUCAGCCUGCCAGGUGAUAUCGACAAUCAUCGACUCUUUGAUUGAAACCCUGGCACGUUGAGAAGCUAAUUCCAUCUCCGCAGCCCCCAACUCCCCGUUGACUUUGGAGAGUUCCUGCUCCUUAUCUCUCAAGAGAUUUUUCUAAGCAGCCCAGUCCUCAGCCAACCUCUUGUUGGUAGCAGAAAGAGUAGAGGCAUCUGAAGCUUAUUACAUGACCUCGCCUUCCAGAUCUUUACAUCGGCGCUUCACUCUCUUCAACUCAUCUUCCAUAGACUGGUAGUCACGAAGACGAGACAGGGAAGAGAGGCGGCCCUGAAACAAAUAAGCGAGCUGCAAAAAGAAAGAAUGAGUAAGAACAUACUCGUAAAAAUAGUAAAACAAAAGUACUCACGUUACUCAGAUUCUGUCCAAUUUCUUCGACAGUUCGGUCCAUCGGAUACCCAGAUAUAGUCCGCAACGUGGUUCGGGCGGCAUCCGUGUCAGCAACCAGCGGGAACUUGGUCCCAUAAUUCCGGGGGUGGGAACCUUGAUAACCCGGCAAUUGUGCCUCCCGGGUAGAAGCGUAUGAGUACCGACCCCGGGAGGACUCCCCAGCAUAAUAUCUCCCACGCGGAGGAGUUCGUCGCCUGGGGGAGUGUCUCCUCGAUUUCCUCGGAGGAGAUGAGUCGGUCCUUGGGGGAGGAGUUCAUUUUUUGCUUCAUUUUUCCUCAGACCCCCCGGGCUGGGCAUCCUUCCCAGCAGUUCUCUCUCGCUCCUCUUCCGGAGUGCGAAAGAGGGAAGCGAGCCUGGAAGCAGUAGGAGACUGCACAGGAGUAGUUUCCACAGGUACCUCCCCUUCUUCAGUUCGUUGGACUUCUUUAGGAGAAGUAGGGGUAUGCGCCCUCGUAUAGGCAUUCUCAUGAGCGCGGCGCCUGAGAUGUUGGGCAUCAGAAGGUUUAGAGGCAGAUGCAUAAACCUUCGUACCUGUCUCGUUUUGCCCAACGCGUUCAGGGACACCUCCAGGGUUAUGCAUGUAAAAAUCUGCAAGAAAUAAAAACAGAGUUAGAAAAAAUGCAUACACAUAAAAAACAGAAGGAGAAAACAGGCAAAGGAAGACCUUGUCGGUUAAAAAUAUCAUCAAUCGCGUGACCGACAGGCACAGCGAUAGGAUGUAGGAAGGCCAGCCUUUGUACAGAAGCUCCGUCAUCCUCGGUCAGAACAGGACGGGGAGUAGGCUUACGACCACUAGUGGAUGCAGGAAGAAGUUUGCUACCAGGACAUAGCCUGCAAUCCACAAAAAUAAACUCACUCUUGUUCCGCCUGGUCGGAGGAUCUUUCAAGAGAGCUGAGUGAGUAACAGAGGAGGCACGGCUGGCACAUGCAAUGAAAGGGUUGCCCUUCUUCGGAUUUUGAAAAGUGAAGAAGUGGAAGAACAGCCGAGCAGUUGGGAUUUUGCCAGCAUCCCUGAGAACAUUAAUGAAGCCCCUGACAUAAAAGAAAAAGGAUGCACCCAUCUGAGAAAUACAUAAUCCGGAAUACAAAAGGAUUUCACUAACUAGAGAAGGGAUGGGAAGGAUCGGAAAGUUAGUGAAAUAGAUACGGUGAAGUGCCAACAUAAAAUAAGGGGGCACAUCACCGGUAUUCUCAGAAGGGUAGGCCCAGUACACUCUCUCUCUAAGCUCUAACCCCCUCAAAAUUCUUUGGGCGGCAUCCAGGGAAAAGGUGUUAGAGCAUCUGCCCGCGUUGGAGGAGAGAGGGUAGCCCGGAAUGUCAGUCAGGGAAACUGCACAGAAAGAACCAUAACCAGUCCCGUACUCGCCCUGGUCAAGAAUAGGGACGACAUGGAAACCGUUGCGAACAAGAACGGACCACUGGCGCCAAGAGCCAUCCAUCUCCCGAUAAAAGGAUGGGGCGCUUUUCUCCUCAAGAGGAGAAGGAAAGGGGUACUUCUCCUCCGUCUCAGGAGGGUAACCUAAAGGAGAGUCCUUUAGAGUAUGAACGUUCUGACUACAGACUUCGGGAGGAAGUUGAGCAGAACCAUCUGUAGCCAGGAAUGGCUCCUCCGCAAUAGGAACCUCCUCAGGAAUAGUAGCCAAAAUGGUUGUAGGAGGAGGAGUCCUAGCAGUAGAAGGAGGGGUGCCUCCAAUCUCUACAUCCCACUCAGGAGAAGAGGAGCUGCAGGAGGAAGAACUCGAGCCCCCCGAACUGGAUGUAGAAGAUCCCGAACUAGAACUUGCGGAGGAAGAAUGGGAAGAACCUACAAACAAAAAACAAACAAAGGGUAAGUUACGAAAGAACAAAUAAUAAUAACUUACUAGGUACAGGCUUGCGCAUACGACGAGAAAGAAUUUUUCGCUUACUUCCAACAGGAGAGGAGGAAGGCGAAUCAACUCUAGGCUCGACCACGGCAGGAGUAGUCUGAACCACGGCAGGAACAGACUCGACUACGGCAGGAGCAGUCUGAACCUGUGGGCUAACAACAACAGCCCGCUCCUCAUUGGGAGGAAGGUCUUUCUGCGAGUUCUUGUCAAAAGACAUUAUAACAACCUGCACGAGGAACAUAGUAGUUAGCCUAAGUUAUGGCAAAAGUCGAUCCCAAGGAAAAGUCGAUCCAGACUUCAGGGAAUCGAACUAGCAGCAUAAGGGAAGUCGACCUCAUAAGUCGAUCCCAGGGAAGUCGACCUCAUAAGUCGAUCCCAGGGAAGUCGACCUCAUAAGUCGAUCCCAGGGAAUUCGGCCUUCAGGAGACAAGGGGCUCAGGAAUUCGACCCCAGCAAAUUCGAACCAAGGGAAUUACUUCGGGAGCGCAAAGGCUAUAUCCGUGGAAGUCGAUCCCAGUAAAAAUGGAUCCAACUUUGGAAAGUCGAUGACAAAGCGUCAAACUUCACAAAGUCGGACCACAGUCCAAAGGGGAACAACUUCGAAAAGGACCUACUUUCAAAAAAGUCGGACCCCAAGGAAGUCGAACCCGGUGCAACUUCAGAAGAGCCCGAUGUCAAAAGUCGGACCCCAGAAAGCUGCACCUCCCAGGCUCAAGUCGAAGCCUUACGCGCGCUGAAGUCGAAGCGGAGAAGCUGAAAGUCGAUGCGUAGAAAGUCGAUUAGUCAGAGCGAAGAAAGCGAGUGGGAAACAAGUGAACCCCCCUCCGCUAUUUAUAGGGGAAAGUCGAAGACGAACCGUCGCGGGCACUGUUCAUCUGGGUUUACCCGUUGGGCCGGAAAGCCCACGAGCCCGGCAGGCCCAAGACGGCCUGGUCCAAGAAAAACCCCAAAAUCCGACUUGAUGACAUCGACAUUUCAGGAAAAGGCAUCGACAUUUAGCAAGGAAUUCGAAACCUUCAAAACAGAAAGUCAGGAUCGACAUUCCACACAAAAUUAAGUUCGACAUUCCCAGAAGGGGGAUAGACGUCGACAUUUACCAAGGAAUUCGAAACCUUCAAAACAGAAGGUCAGGAUCAACAUUCCGCAGAAAAUUGAGUUCGACAUUCCCAGAAGGGGGAUAGACGUCGACAUUUACCAAGAAUUCGAAACAUUCAAAACAGAAGGUCAGGAUCGACAUUCCGCAGAAAAUCGAGUUCGACAUUCCCAGAAGGGGGAUAGACGUCGACAUUUAUCAAGGAAUUCGAAACCUUCAAAACAGAAGGUCAGGAUCGACAUUCCACAGAAAAUUGAGUUCGACAUUCCCAGAAGGGGGAUAGACGUCGACAUUUAUCAAGGAAUUCGAAACCUUCAAAAUAGAAGGUCAGGAUCGACAUUCCAGCACUAUUCUGAUUGACAUCCUCAGAAAAAGAUGAGAUCGACUUUUGAGCAACAUCGACAUUUCCAGGGAGAAAUGAGAUCGACUUGUUGUCAAAAAUCCGACAUCUUCAGAAAAGGAUAAUAUCAGCAGACACACGACAUCGACAUCCUCAGAAAAAGAUGAGUUCGACUUUUGAGCAACAUCGACAUUUCCAGGGAGAAAUGAGAUCGACUUGUUGUCAAAAAUCCGACAUCUUCAGAAAAGGACAGAAUUGGCAGUCACACAUCGACAUCCUCAGGAAAAGAUGAUAUCGACUUUUUACAAACAUCGACAUCUUCAGAAAAGUAUGUUGACCAAAAGAAAGCAUCGACUACACUGACGUACUUCAGAGUAAAGGUGUAAGAAAAGUAAAGGAAAAGGUAAAAAAAGUAUAUUUAUUCAAAAUUACGAAAAAUGAUGAAUAUUACAGGUUCCUAAUUAAAAUUGAUACGGCGACGCAAGCGGCGAGGAACCUGAUCCAGCGGGGAAGCACCGCGGCGGGGACGCCUCCGACGUCGACCACGUGGAGGGACAACAGAAGAAGAGGCAGGCGGAAGAUUGCCGCCAGACCAUUCUUCAAAAAUGGAUUCCCUAGCAGCAACAGCAACACUCUGCCGCUCAACAAUAAGUUGGCGCAAAGAAGGAAGAUCCAAGGCCAACGACCGAGGAUCCAAAAUAUUUAGAAUUCGAUCCAGCUCCUCAAUCUCUCCCUGAAUAAAAUCAGCAAAGAGACUCACAAGAAGAGCCAUGGAUGAAGGAAAAAGAGAACCUAAGGGUUCUAUUUAUAGACCAAAGGACAGCACAAAAGGACAAAAAAGGGUAAAACCGACUUUUUGGCACAAGGAAUCGACUUUUGGACCAAAGCAUCAGGAAUCGACUUUUCCACAAAGGAAUGGAUGCAAAGACCCAGUGAAUCGACUUUUUGACAAAAGUCAACAAACACCACUAGGAUCGACAUUUCACAAAAGUCGACCUACCUCAACAAGGGGAUCGACUUUUUCUUCCCACACAGAAGGGGUACAGAAAAAAGAACCCUGACAAGUUGGAGUCGCGGAAGCGCACCAAGACAGGAGGGUGUAACACGAAAUACUCCUUAGGAAUCGUGGAAGUCCACAACUCGGGCGGCGAUACGGCAGCAAAAUGAACUGAGCCAUACUAAGAUAUUCGAACUCCUACCAUUACUGGACGCAGUAACAAAGUAGGACGCCAAAUUAACUCUACCUACGGAAGAACGUGGGCAUAGAAAGUCUUAAUGGUAACAGAGUCAGGAUGCGUAUCCCACCCAAGGAAAAGAGUGAACCUCACCUACGGAAGAACGUAGGUUAGACGAGGGAAGUACUCAAGAGUGAACCUCACCUACGGAAACGUAGGUUAGACGGGGGAUGUACUCAAAAGCGAACCCCUCCUACGGAAGAACGUAGGUUAGACGGGGGACGCAUCGGCUAAACACACACCCCGUUCUACAAAAAACGUAGACAGAUGGGCAAGUGUUCAAGAGUGAACCUCACCUACGGAAGAACGUAGGUUAGACGAGGAAUAAGCUUAAAUAAUAAUCCUCACCUACGGAUGAACGUAGGUAGACGAGGGAUCACGCCCAAACCUCAGUCGCAGAAAGGCGAGCAAAAGGAGGGGGCAAGUAUUCAAAUAAUAAUCCUCACCUACGCAUGAACGUAGGUAGACGAGGGAUCACGCCCAAACCUCAGUCGCAGAAAGGCGAGCAAAAGGAGGGGGCAAGUAUUCAAAUAAUAAUCCUCACCUACGGAUGAACGUAGGUAGACAAGGGAUCACGCCCAAACCUCAGUCGCAGAAAGACGAGCAAAAGGAGGGGGCAAGUAAUCAAAUAAUAAUCCUCACCUACGGAUGAACAUAGGUAGACGAGGNNNNNNNNNNNNNNNNNNNNNNNNNNNNNNNNNNNNNNNNNNNNNNNNNNNNNNNNNNNNNNNNNNNNNNNNNNNNNNNNNNNNNNNNNNNNNNNNNNNNCAGGUAGACGAGGGAUCGCACUCAACCCCUAUCGCAGAAAGGCGAGCAAAAGGAGGAGGUCGGGUACUCUCAAAACCCGCCACAGGGAAGAGAACCCAAACAGUGCUCAAAGAUAGCUCAGGCAAGGCGUCAAGGUGGGCAAGCAGGGUUCCGCGGGAAAAUCAGGCCAGACAGGUGCGCAAGGAGUAUGCUUCGGCAAGGACAAACCGGACAAUAGUUGGCAAAAGCGCGUGACAACCUCCGUGGAAGCAUAGAUACAACCUCGCAGGCGUAGAGAGGGGGGGAAUACUGGUGAGAGAGGAUCUCACAUCCUGGGACAUCACCAAAAAUCCACAUCCCAGCACGCAAAGAGGGGGGAAUACUGAAAGUACAAGGUCCAACACACAAACCAUAGUACUAAAAGACGUAUCCCAAAGUAUCUAAUACGUAGAGGGGGGGGAGUACUGGUGAUACAGUAUCCCGAACACGGUCACAACCUACCAGCAACUAGAAGUCCGGAUAGCCUAAGAUGAGUUAAGGUAUCUAUUCUAGGGUUGGGGAGGUCCCAGGUCGAAUCCUAGGAAGAUCGACUUUCCUGAGGAUCGACUUCCCUGGGAUCGACUUCUGAAUAAAGUCGAUCACCAGGAAAGUCGACCCCUAGAAAGUCGAUCUCUGGAAAGUCGAUCCCGGGAACCAAUCUGAUCAGUUUGGCAGUUAGGCGGUUAUUGCCAAAAUGACCAUAUUACCCCCAUAAUAACCCCUAUAAAUAGAGAGCACCCCCCACUCAUUAAAGGCAGGUCAUUUGGAUCGAAAGGAUUCCUAGCGAAGCAGAGCUCUGCGCACUUGAGUUCCGGUCCGGUUUCCCGCGGAGUUCCCCGCUUGGCGCUUGCUUGCGCGUCUUGGAGUACUGGUCGGGUUUCACCCCCAUCAAAAAUAUUAUAGGUUCCUAAUUAAAAUUGAUACGGCGACGCAAGCGGCGAGGAAUCUGAUCCAGCGGGGAAGCACCGCGGCGGGGACGCCUCCGACGUCGACCACGUGGAGGGACAACAGAAGAAGAGGCAGGCGGAAGAUUGCCGCCAGACCAUUCUUCAAAAAUGGAUUCCCUAGCAGCAACAGCAACACUCUGCCGCUCACCAAUAAGUUGGCGCAAAGAAGGAAGAUCCAAGGCCAACGACCGAGGAUCCAAAAUAUUUAGAAUUCGAUCCAGCUCCUCAAUCUCUCCCUGAAUAAAUUCAGCAAAGAGACUCACAAGAAGAGCCAUGGAUGAAGGAAAAGGAGGACCUAAGGGUUCUAUUUAUAAACCCUAGGACAGCACAAAAGGACAAAAAAGGGUAAAACCGACUUUUUGUCACAAGGAAUCGACUUUUGGACCAAAGCAUCAGGAAUCGACUUUUCCACAAAGGAAGGGAUGCAAAGACCCAGGGAAUCGACUUUUUGACAAAAGUCAACAAACACCACUAGGAUCGACAUUUCACAAAAGUCGACCAACCUCAACAAGGGGAUCGACUUUUUCUUCCCACACAGAAGGGGUACAGAAAAAAGAACCCUGACAAGUUGGAGUCACGGAAGCGCACCAAGACAGGAGGGUGUAACACGAAAUACUCCUUAGGAAUCGUGGAAGUCCACAACUCGGGCGGCGAUACGGCAGCAAAAUGAACUGAGCCAUACUAAGAUAUUCGAACUCCUACCAUUACUGGACGCAGUAACAAAGUAGGACGCCAAAUUAACUCUACCUACGAAAGAACGCGGGCAGAGAAAGUCUUAAUGGUAACAGAGUCAGGAUGCGUAUCCCACCCAAGGAAAAGAGUGAACCUCACCUACGGAAGAACGUAGGUUAGACGAGGGAAGUACCCAAGAGUGAACCUCACCUACGGAAACGUAGGUUAGACGGGGGAUGUACUCAAAAGUGAACCCCACCUACGGAAGAACGUAGGUUAGACGGGGGACACAUCGGCUUAAGAGUGAACCUCACCUAUGGAAGAACGUAGGUUAGACGAGGGAUGUCCUCAAGAGUGAACCUCACCUACGGAAACGUAGGUUAGACGAGGGAUGUAGUCAAAAGUGAACCCCACCUACGGAAGAACGUAGGUUAGACGGGGUAUACAUCGGCUAAAGAGUGAACCUCACCUACGGAAGAACGUAGGUUAGACGAGGAAUGUACUCAAAAGCGAACCCCACCUACGAAAGAAUGUAGGUUAGACAGGGGACGCAUCUGCUAAACACACACCCCGUUCUACAAAAAAUGUAGACAGAGGGGGGCAAGUACUCAAGAGCAAACCUCACCUACGGAAGAACGUAGGUUAGACGAGGGAUAAGCUUAAAAAGUGAACCCCACCUACGGAAGAACGUAGGUUAGACGGGGGACACAUCGGCUAAAGAGUGAACCUCACCUACGGAAGAAAGUAGGUUAUACGAGUGAUGUACUCAAAAGCGAACCCCACCUAUGGAAGAACGUAGGUUAGACGGGGGACGCAUCGGCUAAACACACACCCUGUUCUACAAAAAACGUAGACAGAGGGGGGCAAGUACUCAAGAGCAAACCUCACCUACGAAAGAACGUAGGUUAGACGAGGGAUAAAUCAAAAAGUGAAACUCACCUACGGAUGAACGUAGGUAGAUGAGGAAUCACACUCAGCCUCAGUCGCAGAAAGGCGAGCAAAAGGCGGGGGCAAGUAUUGAAAUAAUAAUCCUCACCUACGGGUGAACGUAGGUAGACGAGGAAUCACACUCAGCCUCAGUCGCAGAAAGGCGAGCAAAAGAAGGGGGCAAGUAUUCAAAUAAUAAUCCUCACCUAUGGAUGAACGUAGGUAGACGAGGAAUCACACUCAGCCUCAGUCGCAGCAAGGCGAGCAAAAGGAGGGGGCAAGUAUUCAAAUAAUAAUCCUCACCUACGGACGAACGUAGGUAGACGAGGAAUCACACUCAGCCUCAAUCGCAUAAAGGCGAGCAAAAGGAGGGGGCAAGUAUUCAAAUAAUAAUCCUCACCUACGGAUGAACGUAGGUAGACGAGGGAUCACACUCAACCCCUGUCGCAGAAAGGCGAGCGAAAGGAGGGGGUCGGGUACUCUCAAAACCCGCCACAGGGAAGGGAACCCGAACAAUGCUCAAAGAUAGCUCAGGCAAGGCGUCAAGGUGGGCAAGCAGGGUUCUGCGGGAAAAUCAGGCCAGGCAGGUGCGCAAGGAGUAUGCUUCGGCUAGGACGAACCGGACAAUAGUUAGCAAAAGCGCGUGACAACCUCCGUGGAAGCAUAGAUACAACCUCGCAGGCGUAGAGAGGGGGGGAAUACUGGUGAGAGAGGAUCUCGCAUCCUGGGACAUCACCAAAAACCCACAUCCCAGCACGCAAAGAGGGGGAAUAUUGAUAGUACAAGGUCCAACACACAGAUCAUAGUACUAAAAGACGUAUCCCAAAGUAUCUAAUACGCAGAGGAGGGGGGAGUACUGGUGAUACAGUAUCCCGAAGAUAGUCACAACCUACCAGCAACUAGAAGUCCGGAUAGCCUAAGAUGAGUUAAGGUACCUAUUCUAGGGUUGAGGAGGUCCCACGUCGAAUCCUAGGAAGAUCGACUUUCCUGAGGAUCGACUUCCCUGGGAUCGACUUCUGAAAAAAGUCGAUCACCAGGAAAGUCGACCCCCAGAAAGUCGAUCUCUGGAAAGUCGUUCUCGGGACCCUAUCUGAUCAGUUAGGCGGUUACUGCCCAAAUGACCAUAUUACCCCCAUAAGAACCCCUAUAAAUAGAAGACACCCCCCACUCAUUGAAGGCAGGUCAUUUGGAGUAGAAGAAUUCCUAGCGAAGCAGAGCUCUGCGCACUUGAGUUCCGGUCCGGUUUCCCGCGGAGUUCCCCGCUUGGUGCUUGCUUGCGCGUCUUGGAUUACUGGUCGUCGGGUUUCACCCCCAUCAUUUCUAAUCUAUUUUUUUUACAGGUUUCAUUUAGCAUAUUAGAAGUAAUUUUACAAUUUUUUAGUAAAUAUAUUUUUAUUGAAUGUGUUAACAUUAUUUAAUAUGCACGUUUUUUUUUUUUUAAAUUAUUGUGUGACUCUUUAUGUAUGAAGUUAAUAUCAUUUUAGAAUUUAAAAAAUUGAAUGAAAUUAUAUAAUAAAUAGUUAUUAUUAUUAUAUGAUAAUUGAAACAUCAUAACUUAAGCUAAGUGUAGAUGUAACCCAUCAUUAGUAACACUAAAUUGUGUGUCACUGAAUCUAGGGUUAGUAAUUUUAAGUAGUUAGAUCAAAAUACUUAUGUUUGAAAAUAUUAAUUAUUUAUCAAACUUAGAAUUAAUAUCGUAAUUUUUCUACAUUUUUCUGUAGAAUGUCGAAUGAAGACCGAAGUUGGAUGUAUCACCGUCUUUUAUCGAAUACCACUAUAAAUCCUAAGUUUGUGGAUGGACUUGAUGAAUUUUUAAAUUUCGUUGAGACAAAUGAAGAAUAUAUCCGAUGCCCUUGCAUUCGUUGUGCUGGAGCUACAUAUUAUAAAAGAAACGACAUUAGAUUGCAUCUUUACCGAUUUGGAUUUCAACGUGAUUAUGUUGUUUGGCACCAACAUGGUGAAAUCACAUAAUCAUUAUCAACUGAUAUGGAAGCUGAUGCAUUUAUGGAGAGUGGAUCCAGUAGUCAUGUUGAUCCUAUGGUAUAUAUGGUUUUCGAAACCGUUGGUCACAAUGAGCAAUCAUCUGAGAUACCAAAUACUGAAGCAUAAUUUUUUUACAAAUUGUUACAAGAAGCAGAACAAUUUAUAUGGAAUGGUUGUGAAGUUACAACUUUAACUGUAAUGCUAAAAUUGAUGAAUGUUUUAACGACACAUGGAAUUUCUGAAGGUGCUUCAACAGAACUGUUGAAAAUCAUUUCAGAAAUUUUGCCAAAACCCAAUAAUCUUCCUAAAUCCCACUAUAAGUUGAAACAAAGAUUAAAGAAUUUUAGUAUGCAACAGGAAAAAUCGACGCUUGCCCCAAUGAUUGCAUUUUGUAUUACAAAGAGAAUAUGAAUUUAAAUCAAUGUUCAAUAUGUAAUCAUCCGAGAUACAAACCAAAAACUCCAAAAAAUCGGCAUAUUACUCACAAACAGUUACGUUAUUUUUCAUUAAUACCAUGCUUGAAACGCAUGUAUCAGUGUUCUUCGAUCUCCAAACAUAUGACAUAGUAUACUCACACAAGUAAGGAUACACCAAAUGAGUUAAAACAUCCAGCCGAUGGUGAAGCUUGGAAACAUGUAGAUCGAGUCUAUCCUGAUUUUUCAUCGAAAGUUCGGAAUAUUCGAUUGGGAUUAUCAACUGAUGGAUUCUGUUCUUUUGGAAAUUCAAGUAUGCCUUAUUCAUGUUGGCCAGUGAUUGUGGCUCUAUACAAUCUCCCACCAUGGUGGUGCAAUACACCCGCGUUCAUGUUUUUAACAUUAUUGAUUCCUGGUCCAAAAAGUCCAAAUCAGAAAUUCGAUGUUUACAUGCGUCCUUUAAUAGAUGAAUUAAAAUUAUUAUGGAAUGAUGGAAUUCAAACUUUUGAUUCCCAUCGUAAACAAUUUUUUUUAUUGAGGGCAAUCUUAUUAUGGAUGAUAUCUGAUUUUCCCGCAUAUGCCCUGUUGUCAGGAUGGAGCGCUCAUGGAAAGUUAGCUUGUACUUAUUCUAUGAAUUCAAUUCCCUCAUUUUAUCUGAAAAAUUAUAAAAAUUGCUGCUUCUUUGAUUGCGAUCGGCGUUUCUACCAAUUAAUCAUCAAUUUCAUCGACAAAAGUGGAAAUUCAGUGGAAAAAUUGAAAAAGAAGUUGGUAUUGAACGAUUGACCGGAUAUGAAUUGGAACAUGAGCACAUCCCUCCUCUUUCUCGAACGUCUGAUAAAGGGAAGACUCACAAUUGGACCAAACGAAGUAUUUUUUACGAGUUAUGAUAUUGGAGUUCUCUUCUAGUACGUCACAACGUAGACGUAAUACAUGUUGAGAAAAAUAUUUUUGAUAAUAUUUUUUACACCAUUACGAAUGUUAAAGGGAAGACGAAAGAUACUAUUAAUGCACGAAAAGAUUUAAAAUUGCAUCGUAUUCGAAAAGAGUUGCAUCUCAUUCAGCCUGAGAAUAGUAAGAUUUUGAUACCCAAAGCCAAUUCAGUUUAUCGAAAGAUCAGGUCAAAUGCGUUUGUGAGUGGCUUAAACUUGUUAAAUUUCCAGAUGGUUUCCAUCUAACAUUGGUUGUUAUGUUAAAAGCGACGAUGGUAAUUUAAUGGGAAUGAAGAGUCAUGAUUGUCAUGUUUUAAUGCAAAGGUUGAUUCCAAUUGUUUUCGUCGAAUUUAUUCCUAAACCGGUGAACGAUGCUAUUUCUGAAGUUAUUCGUUUUUUCUGAGAUAUUUGCUCAUCAGUUAUUAAAGAAAAUGAGAUGAAAAUUUUAAGAGAAAGUAUUAUCGAGACUCUUUGCAAACUCGAAAAAAUAUUUCCUCCAUCUUUCUUCGAUUCGAUGGAACAUAUGUUGAUUCAUCUUCCAUACGAGACACAAGUAGGUGGACCUAUGCAAUAUAGAUGGAUGUAUCCAUACGAAAGAUUUAUGCAUUCUUUAAAAAUAAAGUUCGAAAUAAAGCUUGUGUUGAAGGUUCUAUUUCUGAAGCUUAUUUGAAAGAAGAGAUGGUGACAUUUUUCUCUUUAUACCUCGACGAAGAUUUUGAAACAAAAUUUACGAAGAAGUCAAGAGACUUUGAUGGUGGUGAUGUAGGCUUGGCUGAUUCGUUAUCUAUAUUCACCCAAACAGGGCGUGCAACAGGCGAGGAUAGCUAUCGAUAUAUGUCAAUUGAAGAAUAUCAAACAAUCAUGUUAUAUAUUCUCACAAAUUGCAAAGAAGCUGAACCUUAUAUUAGAGAGUUCGAAAAAGAAAUGAUAAAUAAUAAUAUCGAUAUAAAUGCAAAAACACUUGCAAGACUAAUUGAGAAUAAGAUUGUAGAAUUGUUUCGUAUUCGAAUGACUGCAAAUAAACACGAUGAUGAACGUUUGCGUAUUUUAUCUAGAGGAUUUAGUAGAAGAGUAAAUGUUUAUCAAAAUUACAUUGUUAAUAAUUAUCGGUUUAGUAUUGACGCACUUGAUAACUCUAAAAAAAAAAUCCAGGAGUUAUGUUGAAAGGAAGCACUGUCAAUGCCUACGAUAUGAAUUGGUAUGGCAUUUUGAAAGAGAUUUUGGAAAUUGAUUUUUAUGGAGAUCGAACUCAAACAGUUAUGUUCGAAGUUGAUUGGUAUGAUACUGAACGAGGAAUAAAAGUUGAUCGAUUUCAUACCGUCGAAGUUAACACAAGACGACGAUUGAAUUGUAACGAACCAUUUAUUUUUGCUUAUCAGGCACAUCAAGUGUGUUAUUUACCUAAAAUGUCUACGAAAACCAAAGAAUGGCAGACUGUGAUUCGUACGCAAGCAACAACGACUAUUGACAUUUUAGAAAAUAAAGAAACUAUUAUAACAUUACCUCCUCAUAUAUAUGUAAAUGAUGUAGAUGAAUUUGUUGAUGUUAGACAUGAUAAUGAUGAUGAGUUUGUAUUCGUACAUGAACAAGUGAGAUAUGAUGAAGAAAUUGAAAUGGAUGAAGAAGAAGGGGAAGAGGAAGAUGAUGAAGAAGGAGAAGAGGAAGAUUAUGAAGAAGUGGAAGAAGAAGAUUAUGAAGAAGGGGAAGAGGAAGAUGAUGAAGAAGGAGAAGAGGAAGAUUAUGAAGAAGUGGAAGAAGAAGAUUAUGAAGAAGGGGAAGAGGAAGAUGAUGAAGAAGGGGAGGGGGAAGAGGAAGAAUAAUGUAUAAUUUUAUUUGUAUCAUAUAUCAUAUUCUAAUUGUAUUAUAUAAUUGUAAUUAAAUAGAUGUCAAGAAAAUUGUUAAUCGCUUCGCAAGCGAUUCAGCGUCAAACUCAAGAAACGAAUGGAUCUUCUGCAACUAGAAAUUGUGAUUCUGAAGAUGGGCGCUUAGGUAUUAUUUUCAAAAAUAUAUUUUUCAUUUUUCAAAUUCAACUAAUAAUAUUAAAUCGUAGGAGGACGGGGGAAACUAGAUCUCUUCCACAACCUGACGUGCCUGUUCCCACUUUCCUCAAUACAGAUAUGUAAGCACUUAUCUUCUUCUUUUUUUAUAAUUUUUUUUAACUAUUAUAACUUUAUGUAGGUCGUUCCAACAAACAGUAAAAAAUCAAAUUAUGUGUUUGGUUAAAGGAAAAAUCAAUAGUGUGUGGUCUACAUGGGCGAUGUUCCCAAAAGAUGUAAAAGAUGAUAUAUGGAAUAAAUUAUUAGUACAUAUUUUUAUUAAUAUUUAUUUUUAUUUUUAAUGAUUUUUUUAUAUAUUAUAAAAAUGAUAUUGUUAAUGUCUGUUAUAUGUUUGUAAUUUACAGAAAUUUUUCAGUUUUCUCGAUAAUGAUGUCGCUAGAUUCCAAUUCGAGAAAUACGUCAACCAGACGUAUAAAAAUAAUCUUCAUAUUGCGAGGAAAAAUGCUUGUAAUAAGGCAGGAAUUGACAUUGACAAGAUGGACAUAUCAAUUAUUCAAUUCAACCCUGCUUCGAUCUCACCGAUUAUAUAGAAGGAGAUGGUUGAUUUUUGGUUUACAAAUGUAACAUGGAAGAAAAAAUCAUCUGUUGGAAAAAUUAACAGAAAUAGAAAAGCAGACUUCAUGGUAUACCUUGGAGGUGCUAAAUCAAUAGCUUCACACAAAAAAGCAAUGGUAUUUAUGUCAUUAAUUUUUAUUUGAUGAGUACUUAUUUUUAAUACAUGAUAAAGAAACUGGUAGGGAAACUUGUCGGGCAGAUGUAUACUUGAAAGUACAUACAAAUCUGAAAACCAACAAAACUCAUCCAAUUGCUGAAUCUCUAAUGGUAGAUAGUAAUUUCAUUAUUAAAUUUAAUUAAAAAAACUAUCAGCUGUUUUAUUUUAUAUUUUUGAUUUAGGAAAUUAAUAAAAGUAAAAGACUUGCUAGCAUACGAGAAUACGGUAUUGAAAUUCCUAUGUCUCAAAGUACAGAGGGAUCCACAAGAGAGCCACAACCGAUGUACGUUGGCGAAGAUGACCAAGAGUGGAUGAAAACAUUUAAUCAUAAAAAAGGUCGUGUUCAAGGAUUUGGAAAAAUUCAACCGUGUCCGACACUUUCGAAGAGAAUCUCCUCUGCCUACGCAUCCACAAGUAAGAAAUAUAAUGUGGAUCAAUUGGAAUCAUUGAAGAUUGAGAUAGGAAGACUAAAUCAGGUAAAUCACGAUCGCGAAGAAAUUUUUUUGGAGAUGCAAUCACAAUUGCAAAAAGAACAGAAAGAGAUGCGUGAAAUGAUCAUACAUUUAAUGGAGAGUCAUUCUACGAUAUCUACGGUAUUUGAAUCAAAUUAUCUUUUUCAAUUCUAAUUUCAUAUCAUUUAUUAAAUAUUUUUUUAUUUAGUCGCCAUCUCAAAAUAUUCCAUCGUUUUCACGCGAAAAGAUCCAGACUUUUAACUUAAAUGUCGAAAGCACUCCACAAAAUCAGUAAGUAAAAAUUUGUAAUCUAUUUGAUUUUAUAUUUUAUAACCUUAUAAUAUUUUUUAUUUUAGAAUGACAGGAUCUCCAAAUAUUUCAAUUGAAACAGAUUCGCAACAGAAAAACAAAUAUAAGGAAAAGGAGAAGAAGAAGAAAGAUAAGAACAUGAAAAAAAAAAGAAAAAAUUGAAAGGCAGGUUACUUUAAGUAACUUUUGAAUCGUAAACAAAAAUUAAAGUUAAAAUAAAGAUAAAUGAUUGUAAAUGGUUGGAUAUAUUUUUAAAUGAACGGUUAAUAUAUAUUUGGAUGAAUGGUUGAAUAUAUUUUUGGAUGAAUUAUUGAAUAUAUUUUUGGAUGAAUGGUUAAAUAUAUUUUUGAAUGAUUGAUUUAAUAUAUGUUUGGAUGAAUGGUUAAAUAUAUUUUUGGAUGAUUGAUUUAAUAUAUGUUUGAAUAAAUGUAUAUUAUAUAUUUUUAUUGUAACAGGUUAUAUGAAUGACUUUUUUGUAAGGUCCUAAUGAACACCCAUGCGAAACAAAAUUAUUAUUUUUUCUCUUUAAAAAUUUGCGACCAACUAGUUUGUCGCUAAGUGUAGUUCGUCCAAAAUACUAGCAAAUAGCGACCAACCAGGUCGUCGCCAAUAAUUUCACGUCAAAUUUUUGUGACCAACCAAGUUGGUCGCUCUUAUGGUAGCGCCAAUUUUUUGCGACCAACUUUAAUGUUCGUGCCAAAUUUUUGCAACCAACCAAGUUGGUCGCCCUUAUGAGGACGCCAAUUUUUGGGACCAACCAAGUUGGUCGCUUUUAUGUUGGCGCCAAAUUUUUGCGACCAGCCAAGUUAGUCUCCCUAAUGUUGGCUCUAAAUUUUUGAGACCAACCAAGUUGGUCGCCUAAAUGUUGGCGCCAAAUUUUUGCGACCAACCAGCACCCUUAUGUUGGCGCCAAUUUUUUGGGACCAACCAAGUUGGUCGCCCUUAGGUUGGCGUCAAAUUUUUGGGACCAAUCAAGUUGGUCUCCCAUAUAUUGACACCAAAAAUUUGGUCAGAUUUAGAUUUAUUGAGCAAUCAACCAAUUUUUUGGUCGCUUUUUCUAUAAGCGACCAACUUAUGCCUUUUUGCGACCAACUUGGAUUGUCGGUCGAAAAAAAGCAUUUUUCUUGUAGUGGUCAUACGGGAAGAGAGUAUGUUCAUUUGCUAAAAGAGCCAUUUGUGCAGUUCAUUUUCGUACCAUUUCAUCGGUCACUUGGUUAGUGUUGUCGAACAUAACCUUCCAUUUUGUACCUUUUUCUGGAUGGUUUAGGGAGUGGUCUUUUGUGCGACCACGACCCUUCUUCUUUGGAGGCUCAUUAUAUAUGGAUGGCCUCGCAUCUAAUUUACAUAUUUAAGAUUUAAUAUUUAAUAAAAAUCAUGAUAAUAUUUUAAUUACGAAAAAUAAACUAACCACCAGACGGGAUGUAACCAUCGCUAGUGCCAUGAACGGUGUGAUAACACCAACCAGAACGAAAAAAGUAAAUAUAAUCUGAAAUAUUACAAUUUUAAAAUAAAAUUAAUUAAUUUAAAUUAAAUACAUACCCAGACACUAGUAUACGGGGUCUUGGUCUGACACAAAUUUUUUCCAUUGUAAAGAAUCAGUUGGAUGACUAAGAAAUCCGUCGUCCUUAUGUUUGGAGUGGUGCCAUAUCAUUUCUUCAUUAAUUUUGGAACACAAAUACAAUCUCUUCAAAUGUGGAAUCAAUAGAAAGUGACAAAGGCAUUUCGUAGGAAUACGUUUAUUUUUCUGAACGCCUUCGACGAGCCACCUACAUGUUCCACAAUUUGGGCAAGUUUCUGCGUCUGCAUACUCAUUUCGAUAUAAAAUACAAUCGUUGCGACAUUCAUCGGGAAUAGCACGACGCAUGAGGGAUAAAAAUUUCUGAAAACUUUUAUCACUCCAAUGAUUGUCGCAUUUCAACUGAUAUAAUUCCAAGAUAAAAGUGAGUUUCGAAAACUCUGUGCAACCUAUAUAUAACUGUUCUUCACCUUCUUUUAGACGUCGUAAGAAUGAAUCAUCAUAUAUGUUCUCUGGAUCUAAAGGCCGCCAUACUAGGUCCUUUUUUUUGUAGUGCUUGAUGCUAUAAUGGUUAAAUAUAUGAGCAUCACGUAACGCCACGCACAGUAUGUCAAGGACAAUUUUCUCCCUGAUGUUAUCAACAUCCUUCUUGCUCCAAAGUACCGGCUCACCUAGAGAUAUGUAUUCCAUGGUGGCCAUUACGUAUAGCCUUGUAUCUUCAUGAUUUUUAAUGAAUAAUGCUUGAGGAAAAUAAGGAGAUUGUUCGCAAACCUAAUUAGACAAGUGGUGAUUUGAAUAAAUCCCUCUGACGUAAUGAUCCAACCAUGCACACUGCAAAAAAUUAUACGACGUAGUGUUAGAUUAUUACCUCGUUCUAUUUAAAACAUAUAACAACCUAGUGUUUAUUCACUUACCAUAUUCUUAUAAUGUUUAAUCAUAUUCUCGUUGUCUUCGUAGGGAGAACAGUAGAUGCAUUUCUUCUUUGUUAUGUACAACUGUAUCAAAUGCCAAUUACCAUACACUUCAAUGGGCUCUAAUAUAGUAUGAAUCAUGUCCCAUUUGUCUACUUUUUCGCUCAAUAUGUUCUUGAGCUCGCCAAAUUCGGUCAUGUUCAAGUUCCUGGUAGGAGCAAUUCUUUUAAUUUUUUCUAAUUACAUCAAAUACAACCGUCAUGCACAAGUUCAGAAUUAUUUAGAAAAGUGUUACGGAUGAAGCCUCUACCUUAUCGAUCGACAAUGACCUGGGAGCAAUUUCUGAACUUUCCGAGAAGACUGGAGCGCCGGCGGCCAACUUGCCCAUCGUCGACGAGGAAUCAGGAGUUGCCCUCACGACGACCCCAUUGGAACCAGCCAGAGACCGCUCGACCCGAUUAAAGAAACCCUCUAUUUGGGUGACCGAUUAUGUGAAGUAAAGAUUGCAAGAAGACCCUGAACUUCCUUCUUUUAUUUUAAGAAAAUUCAAGUUAGAUUAAUUACAUUUUAAUCCAAUAUUGUAAUUUCAUUUAAAAAGACAAAAUUGUAAUUUCCAUUUUAUCAAUUAAAAAUUAAAGAAUUUCCCUAAUCCAUCUCUUCCACCCCAACACCCCGAUGUUCACCGAUCCUCCAAGUAACCGCCGCCGGUCUCCCAUCGCCGUCCAGAUCAACGCUCGCCGAUCGCUGGUCCUUGUCCGGCCGUCUACCGUCCAGAAUCUGUCCACGUUGCCCUCCUUCUCGAUUCUUCCCGCUCUGCGGCAUCUCGUACAUUCUCUCCCCUGAUCACAUCACCACAAAUUCCUGUCCGGACCGACCCUGUUCCAGUGCUCUUCCUCACGAUUCUUGGAUCGCCUUGCUCUCGUCAUAAAUAUCUAGAUCGUAUUCCGAUCUUAGAUCGGAGACACUAGAGCUCCACAGGUCAAAUUAAUCCUCAUCGGAGAUUGGGGAUAGUCUUGAUACUCUUUACCUGUAUCAACUGGUGCUUUCAAAUUAUUUGAUCUCUAUUUCAGGAUAUUCUAAACAUGGAUGCAGUCAAAGCCACUCUCAAGAGGAUGCAAGAAUUUCAAUUAUCGCAAACUCGAGAGAUGACAGAACUGAGGUCUAUGAUGCAUAAUAACACACUGCAGCUGGGGAAACAAAUGGCAGAUUUGGCAAUGACUAUUGCUGAGAGUAAUUCUGAUAGUAGCAACACAAUUAAAGUAAUGAGACCAGGGAAGAUUGAGCAGAAAAUUGUUGAUCCAGAUAUUGAUCCAGAGAGACCUAAAUACGCAGCAUGUAUAUAUAACAAUCCAGAGUACACACCAUCUAAGCAUAUCAAAUUUGAUAUGCCCAAAUUCGAUGGAACAAAUCCAGAGUUGUGGGUAUUCAUGGCAAGGAUAUUCUUCCUCUUUCACAACACCCCAGAGGAACAGAAAUUAAUAAUCGCAUCAUUUAAUAUGCAGGAGGUAUCCCUAAAAUGGUUCUUGUGGAUGGAAUCAAGUAAUUAUUUGACCACUUGGCCAGCAUUUCUAAAAGCUCUCCUCAAAAAAUUCUACCCCACUACUUAUUCCAUUCCGGGAGAAAAACUGAGCAAGCUGGUCCAAGCUUCUUCUGUAGUACAAUAUGUAGCUCGAUUUGUAGAUUACUCUGCCAAAGUUACUGGUAUUCCUGAUUGGUUACUACUUGAAAUGUUUCUAUCUGGACUUAAAGAUGAUACUCAGAAAGAUGUGGUUAGACCAAAGUUAGAUGAUAUCCAAGAGGCUAUGGAGCUGGCUGUCCAUUUGGAGCUCCAAGGUACUGGUUCAACAGUUCCCAAAUAUGGUGGGAAAUUUAAACCUCACUUCAUAAGAUCUUUCAUGACCAAAACAGGAAGUGAAAAUUCAUCGCAGCCCACAAAUAAUAACAAUAUACCUGCGGGCAGCAUGGGGUUCAAUAAACCAGCAACUACAACACCCACAUUUAAAAGACUGACAUUCGCAGAAAGGAAAGAAAGGACUGCGAAGGGAUUAUAUUUUAAUUGCGUAGAUAAAUUUAUACUGGGGAACAAGUGUAAAGGCAGAUUUUUUAGACUCUGUGCAUAAGAUAAUACACUAUGGGAAAUGGAAGAUGAAGCUGAAGAGAUAUCUGAAAUUAAGAUAUUGGAAUACGAAGAAGGAUCUGAAAUAAGCUUGCAAGCAUUAUAAGGAUUGGGGUGAGAACUAUCAGAUUAGAGGGCUUCAUCAAAAGCCAAUCAGUCAGUGUUUUUUUUGACCCGGGCUCUACUCACAAUUUCAUCCAAGAAGAGGUAGCAUCUACUUUGCAGUUGGUAGUUUGUUAUAUGAACCCAUUUAGAGUGUCCACAGGUAGUGGGGAAAAGCUCACAUGUGAUAAAGUAUGUAGGAGAAUCAAUCUGAAAAUUCAAGGCACAAUAGUGGAGAUUGAUCUUUUUCUAUUACCGAUGGCAGGCUCCAAUGUUGCUAUUGACACUCAAUGGCUAAAAGAUCUGGGAGAUGUAAUUUCCAACUAUAAAGACUAUAGUAUGAAAUUCUGUUGAAAAGGAACCCAAGUAGUGUGGAAGGGGAUCUCAUGGCAGGACAGUAAUCCCCCAACUGCUAGUGAACUGAAAUCACUAAAAGGAGGCACUUCUGAAGUAUUUUUAUGCUAUUUUGAAAAGAUGGAAGAAAAUCCUGUAAUUCUGAAUUCAGAAAAAAUAAAUUCAGAAAUUUCUAAAGUGGUGAAUAACUUUCAAGGGGUCUUGAAGAACCAGAAGGCUUACCACCACAGAGGGAAAAUGAUUAUUUUAUUCAUCUGCAACCCAACUCAGCUCCUGUUAAUGUCAGACCAUACAGGCAUCCUCAAUACCAAAAAGAAGAAAUUGAGAAGGUGGUUAGAGAAUUGCUCCACCAAGGUACCAUUCAGCUUAGUACAAGCCCUUAUUCAUCGCCAGUAUUAUUGGUGAAGAAGAAGGAUGGAGGGUACAGACUAUGUGUGAAUUAUAGGGCACUAAAUGCCCUCACUAUUAAGGAUAAGUUCCCAAUCCUAACUGUAGACGAACUUUUGGGUGAACUGAGAGGUUCUGUUAUUUUUUCCAAGCUGGACUUAAGGUCAGGGUUCCAUCAGAUCAGGAUCAACCCAUCUGACACUGAAAAAUCGGCAUUCAGGACUCGCCAAGGCCACUACGAAUUCCUAGUAAUGCCUUUUGCUCUUACAAAUGCGCCGGCUACCUUUCAGUCCAUUAUGAACAAGGUAUUUCAGAAUUUUUUGAGGAAGUUUGUCCUAAUUUUCUUUGAUGAUAUCUUGAUUUAUAGUACUACAGUUGAAAGCCAUUUGGAACUGCUAAUAUUAAUGUUUGAAACUCUCAGAAAUAAUCAGCUAUUAGCUAAGACAUCCAAAUAUUCUUUUGGGCAGUCCUCGAUAGGCUUUUUAGGCCAUUUCAUCUCUCAAGAAGGUGUUAACUCAGAUUCAGAUAAAAUCCAAGCUGUGAUGGAUUGGCCAGUGCCUAAAACAAUUAAGCAACUAAGGGGUUUCUUAAGGCUGAGUGGGUAUUGCAGAAAAUUUGUUAGAGCUUAUGCUCAGAUUGCUACUCCCUUGACAAAUUUACUCAGAAAAGAUGCAUUUAAGGGGUCUGAUGAAGCUUCAAAAAGUCUCCAAGAACUAAAGGAGGCCCUAACUAAAGUUCCUGUCCUACAAUUCCCUGAUUUCGAGAAAGAAUUUUUGGUGGAGACGGAUGCUUGUAAUUCAGGAAUAGGAGCAGUGUUACUCUAGGACAGCCAUCCCAUAGCAUUUUAUAGUAGUAAAAUAAGUGGCAGAAUGGAGGCAGCCUCGGUAUACGUGAAGGAAAUGUUUGACAUCACCCAAACUGUGGGAAAAUGGACACACUAUCUGUUGGGAAGGUAUUUCACCAUCAAAACUGAUCACAGAAGCCUCAAAAACCUACUCACACAGGUAAUUCAGACCCCUGAACAACAGGUGUUCCUCUGCAAGUUGCUUGGUUAUGACUUUACUAUCAUCUACAAGCCCGGGAAAUAUAACCAAGUAGCUGAUGCUCUCUCUAGGUGUUAUGAGAAAGAAGAAAUCCUAUACUCCAACAAGAUGGAAUUAGAAGAAGGGACUCUAUUAGCAUUUUCAACUCCCCUAAAUUCAUUAAUUUCAGAUCUCAAAGAAUUCAACAAAGUGUCUCCCGAAAUCCAAGUUCUAGUACAAAAAAUCAAAGAUGAAAAUCUGCAAGCACAAGGUUAUGAAGUCAGAGAUGGUCUAAUUUUCUACAAGGGUAAAUUCUAUAUCUCCAAUGAAUCUGAAUUUAUGCUAAAAUUUCUAAAAGAAUUACAUGAUGGUCAUAUUGGAGGUCAUUCUGGUAUUGAUAGAACUUUUAAUAGAGUUGCUACUAAUUUUUGGUGGAAAGGCAUAAUGAAAGACAUUAAAGAAUACGUCAAAAAUUGCUUAAUAUGUUAGAAAAUAAAACCAGUAAAUCAAAAGCUCAGUGGUCUGCUAAUGCCCUUGCCCAUUCCACCCUCUAUGUGGCAUGAUUUAUCUGUGGAUUUCAUCACACAUCUCCCCAAAGUUCAGAAUAAAUCCGUAAUUGUGGUUGACAGGUUGUCAUCUAGAGGGUUUACUAGACAAUUACAAUGCUCAAAUGGUGGCUGAUUUCUUUGUUAAAGAGAUCAUUCGACUCCAUGGCUACCCCAACUCACUAGUCUCUGAUAGAGACAAAUAUUCACUUCGAAGUUCUGGAAGGAAUUGAACAAGUUAUGUAGAACCAAGCUGAAUUUCACCUCAAAUUAUCACCCCCAAAGUGACGGCCAAACUGAAGUGGUGAAUAGAGGAAUUGAGAUGUAUUUCAGAGCUCUUACACAUGCUAAACCCAAGAAAUGGCUGGAUUUAUUACCUUGGAAAGAACUAUGGUUUAAUACAAAUUAUAAUGAAUCUCUCGGAAGCACCCCCUUCUAAGUUUUGUUUGGCAAGGAGGCCCCAAUUUUUCCUCAGUUAUUAGACACUAGUUCUUCUAUUGAGGCAGUACAAAGCAAUGUACAAGAAAGAAAUGAAGCAUUGGAAGCUGUCAAGCUCAACCUCACCCGAGCUCAAAUCAGAAUGAAGAGAAUGGCCGACGGCAUAGAAGAUAGGUAGAAUUCGAGGAAGGCGAAUUAGUGCUAGUAAAGCUACAACCGUAUAGGCAAUCUUCAACAGCCUACAGAUUUCACAAUAAGCUUUGUUUGAAAUACUUUAGGCCAUUCAGAAUUAAAGAAAAAAUUAGUCAAGUUGCAUAUCGGGUGGAACUACCUUCUGGAAGCAGAAUUCAUGAUAGCUUCCAUGUCUCUAAGCUAAAGAAAUUUUUUGGGACAGCUUCAACUUCCUUGGACUGGCCCCAACUAUUAGCUACCGAAAAUCAACCUAUACUAUAUCCUCUAUCCAUAAUUGAUUGCAGGACUAUUGAUCGGAAUGGAAACAAGGUACCUCAAUUCUUGGAGCUCUGGAGUGAUGCAUUAUUAGAAGAUUCAUCGUGGGAGGACGAUAAAGAGCUACAAAGAGCUUUUCCAUUUAUCCACCUUGAGGACAAAGUGAAUCUUUGGGGGGGUGGCCAUGUUACGGAUGAAGCCGUUACCUUAUUGACGGACAAUGACUUGGGAGCAAUUGCUGAACUUUCCGAGAAGACUGGAGCGCCGGCGGCCAACUUACCCAUCGCCGACGAGGAAUCAGGAGUCGCCCUCACGACGACCCCAUUGGAACUAGUCCGAGACUGCUCGACACGAUUAAAGAAACCCUCUAUUUGGGUGACCGAUUAUGUGAAGUAAAGAUUGCAAGAAGACCCUGAACUUUCUUCUUUUAUUUUAAGAAACUUAAAGUUAGAUUAAUUACAUUUUAUUCCAGUAUUGUAAUUUAAUUUAAAAAAAGAAAAUUGUAAUUUCCAUUUUAUCAAAUAAAAAUUAAAGAAUUUCCCUAAUCCAUCUCUUCCACCCCAACACCCGACGUUCACCGAUCCUCCAAGUAACCGCCGCCGGUCUCCCAUCACCAUCCAGAUCAACGCUCGCCGAUCGCCUGUCCUUGUCCGGUCGUCUACCGUCCAGAAUCUUUCCACGUUGCCCUCCUUCUCGAUUCUUUCCGCUCUACAGCAUCUCGCACAUUCUCUUCUCGGAUCACAUCGCCGUAAACUUCUGUCAGGACCGACCUUGCCCGCAAGCUCUUCCUCGCGAUUCUUGGAUCGCCUUGCUCUCGUCUCAAACAUCUAGAUCGUAUUCCGAUCUUAGAUCGGAGACACUAGAGCUCCACAGGUCAAAUUAAUCCUCAUCGGAGAUUGGGGAUAGUCUUUAUACUCUUUACCUGUAUCAAAAAGUUACAUGUACAAUAACAUAUUUACCAUUUUUAUUGGGUCAAUGUACUUGACAGAAUGAGCGAAAUAUUGCCGAUUUGCCAUUUUCUGGUGGAUAACUCUAAUGAAAAGCGAGAUGCACUGCACAUACGAACAAUCAUGUUAGUGUAAGUAAUAUUAAAUAGAUCUGACCUUCUUUUCCGAUGGUUCAUUUUCCGGUGGAUAGACCUUCUUUUGCAGCAAUUUCCUGUAAUUUACCUCUCUCCUUAAUGUCACGUAUAUUCAUUUCAGCCCUGGUUACGUGGUUCUUUCACAUCUUCUCUUUCAUUAUCCUUUCAAUCCUAGCCUUCCUCACGUUUUCCUAAAAUAUUUUAUAAUAAUUUUAGCAGAUAAAUGACAUGUAGGUCGAAGAACAAUAAAACUUACAUGUCUUUCUAUUAUCCUUUUCACAAGAGAACUAGGUUUGUGUUUUUUCAUCUGGACGGAUAUGGGUUCAUUGUCUAACCUGUCUUCUUCUCUCAAAAAAAUGAAUUAUCUUUCUUGGUGUAGUAAAAGUUUUCUCAUUUCCCACUUUACGACAUGCUUGAAACGCUAAGCGACACACCUCUUCUAUAAAUACCGGGUCUUCUUGAGAAGACAGAACAUAUUCAGGCACAAUUUUUUUGGUACCUAUAACAAUGUUUUAGAGCACAUUAUGUAUAUUGAUUGUCAUUUUAUUAAUUUCUUACGGAUAAUUACCGCUUGUUGAAGCUAUAUUAUUCGCCUUAUUCACAACUUCAGGUACAUUGAUAUCUAAAUCAGUAAAAUCGAAAGAGAGCUUCACAGGGGAACCUACAAAUUCCUUCCUUGUAUUAAAAAGAUCUGAAUACGAACAAAAUUAUUGUUAGAUAUUAGUUGAAAAUAAAUUCGGAAAAAUUUAAACACACAUAAUACCAUCAUGUGUUAGAUCAAUAGUCUUCUCCGUGAAAUCUUCGGUAUAAUCCCAUUCACUUUCACUCUUUACUUUUACAAACUUAUACUCAGAUAUUAUUGGAUUUGAGUAUAGAUAUUCGACUUCCUCCGAGCUAUCGCUUUCUUCUUCGCUAACUACAUUUUUUUGCAUCAUUAUUAAUAUUCCUAAGGAACUUAUACAAAUUCUAAUUUUAUGAAAUAGACAGUACUUGUAUAAUUUAUCGUUAUCAUGAAUAACUAGCACGUCUUUCUCAUUUUCAUCUGAGGAUGCUAUACCUUUCGUUUUCUUAUCAGUAACUAUAGAAUCUGGAAAAAAUAUGCAUGUCCGUGUUAGAGAGUUCGUGUUGUAGGUAUUGAUGUAAAAAAACAGUAUAGGAAAUAAACAUGUUCGUUAGUUUGUUCAUCUAAUACAAUUAUAGGACACAAUUCAAUAAGUAGCGGUAUGUCGUAGUACAUUAUCAUAUACCGACAUAUUCUGUUAACAGACUAUAUUAGACCACCAAUAAUUAUAGGAUACAGUUGAUGAAAUAGCAGAACGUUCAUUUAUUUUAGCAAUGAAACCUAUUCCAUUAACAGAUUAGCUAGCAUACACUCACAUAACAAUUAAGCAUUUCAAACAUUUGCCAAGCAUUUCAAAAAUUUGUCAAGCAUUUCAAACACUUUUUUCUAGAUGAAGAUUUGUAUUAUAGGACAUAAUUAUUGUAAUACCAUACUAUUAAAAUAUUUUAGCAGAGCAUAGUAUUGAAUUAACGGACAGGUAAAUAAUUUUCAUGCAUAUUGUUCGCAUGUCAAUUUCUAAUCUUUUUUUGGUUGAUUAGCAUUUUGUGUCAUCUUGCGCCGCGUACCUUGAAUGGUGUUCUCCCCUACUUGACUAGUAAUUUUCUUCACAGCAUUCUUGUCAUCAUCUUUGUGUCCGGAGUUUACGUUUUCAUCUGAAAUAAUAGUUCACAAUUAAACCAAAUUUUCAGUUUUAUGUACUAUCAGUAAUUUUGAAAAAAAUUAUUUCAUACCUAAAACAGUUCCGUCGAGCUUCACAGAAGUUUCACCUAGAUGUAGCAUACCAGGAACCAACCCUCUCUUUAUUCCCAUGCUUUAUAGAACUCUUGUUUCACCUGAACAUUAGCCUUUUCUUGGGAUGGAGGAUUGUUACCGAUGUAAGUCACUUCAUAAUCUUCUUCAUCGAGUAUCAGAGUCGGGCACUCUUGGCUGAUGUUUAGAUUGAAUGUUGGGAAGAUGAAAGCAUUCUCUACGAUUGUAUCAGUCUAUUUUUUUCCGCAUCUUCCACUGCAUUAUCAUCACAUUUUUCAACCAUUUCGCACUGAGUCUGAUGGUCCUCUGGUGUGGGUUUUGCAGUAGGAACCUCUGAAGAAAUUUUAGCAGAACCAUCAGCUUCUUCAACAGGACUAUCUUCUCUUAUAUCAGACAAAGGACUAUCUUCAGCAGGACUGUCAGUCAAAGGCAAAUCAUGAGUGGCGAUUUCUUUUGCGGGGCUUGAUUUAGCACUCUUCACCUCAUCCCCUUCUCCAGUACUGUUCUUCAGAUUUAAUAAAACUUCUGCUGGAUCUUCAACUAGCUUAAGUUUCUUGUUGCUCACCUCCAUAACUAUAACAUAUUUUUAAAGCAAUAUCAAAUUGUUUCCCUCAAAAUCUGUAAUGUCGAAUUAGACAAAUUUUACAAAAAUUAAUGAAAUUUACGUAUUAGAUUUACUUACUAUCAGGAGAAAGUCCUGAGGAGGUUCCACUGGUGGCCAAUAGCCUACUGCUACGACGUAACAUCACGAACUCCUGAGGUGAUUUCUUCUUCUUUGGCUUUUUUAGUUUUUUUCCGUCACUGGUUUACCGAAUAUUUUCUCGUACUUGGCUUCAACCUCGGCCUUUUCAUUCUCUCUUCUAUGAAGUACAAGGUUCUUUUUCGCAGAAGAAUAUCAUGGUACUGUCUUUUUCUUUGAAUCAUGUAUCAUCACCGCCUUUCCCUUCAACUUCCUCCUUUUAGCAGAUUCGUCGAGGUCGCUGUCUACUGACCUUAUUUCCUCUUCCACAGAUUUUGGCUCAGAUCCAAUCCCAUCAUAACUUGCUGAUGAACUUGAACCAGUUCUUAAGAGACCAUCAGAUUUUUGUCUUUGCUCUGUCAGAUUCUUUCUCUUCUCAAAAGAAAUACCAUCUACAAAAGCGUAUGAUAUGAAGAAUAUAAAAUGCAAAAAUUAUUCAAGAAUUCACCAAAGGAUUUAUUGAGGAUAAAAAUCUAGCUACAUUAGUUUCUUAUUAGGGGAGUAUCAAGAUAUAAUUCUUUACGGAGAAAAUUUGUUUACAAUUAUUUACCUCGUCAUCUUCGAGAAGGUCAAGCUUCUCUUUCAAGUAAACAAUUUGACUCCCCCCCACUUCUCUUUCAAGUAAACAACACACCAUGUGUUUGAAUGGCGAGGCCACCAGCGUGUGUUUGAAUAACCAGACCUGAAAAGAAAAAAUUUCUCAGAACUUUAUAUUCCAAUAAGCUAUAUUAACUUUAUGCAAAAACAGAUUUUUUUCUUCGAUAUUUACCAUUAGACACAUCACACAGCCAUAUAUGUACAGUGUCAAUGACUCAAUUGUCCUUUUGCGGUGGAGCACGCUGUCCCUGCACUUGUCCAUACGUUCAAACAACACACCAUGUAGCAAUUCCGCCCAGUUAUACUCGGCAAUAUAUCCUAUGUUUGAAACAAAAUCCAAAAUUUUUUGACCUAUACGGUAAUUGUUUUUGCAACAUAGUACUGUAAUUAACAAAUAUAUAGUCCAUGGUCUUUUCAAAUCAUCCUCAUUAGUCUUUGAUAAUGAUUCACUCAUAGCCUUCUUGUUGAUUGCUGUAAUGGCCUGGACGAUCACAUCUCUUCGAAUGUCGCAAUCAUAACUGAAAUGCCUCAGGGACCAAUCAGAAGUACUCUUGGCCUUCUUCUUCAUUAUCACUGCAAGGCCAAAGGAUGGAAGGAUGAGGAUUUCACCAAACUCUUUCACAGAAAACUCUAGUCUUCGACCGUUAAUAAUAAAAAUAUUUCUACCAACAUACCUCCCUAUAAGAUCGUCUAGGUGACGAGCCUUGAUUUUGAAAUCUGGGAUAGCAUAGAAUUGACCGAAAUAGGUAGACUUUAUUCUUUUUGUCACAUUAUCGGUGAACUGUAUACAUCCGGUCUGCGCAACCUCGUUGUAAGUCGGUAUUCCUGAUCGAUGACGAAUUAAAUGGUUUACUGUUUAUUUCAUACCAAAAAAUAUUAUCAAUAUCUAACAUCAAAAUAGGAUGGUUCAAUAGUUGAAAUUACAUAACUGUGUGUCUCGUCAUGAUGGUGCUUGACAGUUUUUCCCUUCGAUCGUUUCACCACUUCUGGUAUUUCAUCUGAAGAUGAAGUAUUCUUAUCAGACAUUAGAGUUUUUUUCGCAGAAGAUUUCACCUUCACAUUUUUUUUUAGCAGAGGCCUCCCUCUUUUUAGGGGUGUCAGUUACCUUUUUAGCUUGUUUUUGAACAACAUUUUCAGGAAGCUUAUUCAGACGCUUCUUCUCCACAACCUUCAUUUUCUACAACAAACGUGACGAUUGACCUACAACAUUGGGUUUUUCUCGGCACUGAUUCUCUUCUUGUCAUCUUCCAUAAGUCUCCUUAGUGUCGAUUCGAAUUCCAUUUUCUUACAUAUCUUAGGAGACCUCUGUUCAAUUGAACCUAAACAAACACAACCACAUUUAAUAGUUUCUAAAAGGAACUUGCAGAUAAAUAGGUGUCACAAUAAAACUAGUAAAAUGUACUUACUGCCUUUCCAUUUGGAAAGAAUAAAUUGUUCUGGAUCUGGAGAUGAUUCCCUUUCGGAAGAAGAUAAAUUGCAAUCUAUGUCAUGAAUCAAACUGUCCACGACGUAGUUAGCAUGCUUCAAAUCACACGCUGCAUAUUACAGGUUAUUGCAAACAAAUAUUAGGACUAAAAUAAUAAAAUGAAAAUAAAAUAAAUUAAAAACUAUAUUUAUAAUCAUACAAGUAGAUUGAAUUUCUUCGUUUCCUGCAUUUUUUUUGCCACUGUUUUUUCCGUUAUCAGAAGACAUUUUCACAAAACAAUUACAUAGAACAAAAAGACAGAGACGAAUUUAAACGGCAAUAAUGUUAUCUGAAUUAAUAAUAUUUAAGAAAACACCAAAAAAAUACUAGACUGGAGUGACGAAAGUAGAAUACACGAAAUUUUUAUACAACAAUCACACUGUCAUACAAGUAGACAUUCACAGAAUUACAUACGACAUUAUCAGAAGUACAGAUGACAUUAUCAGAAGUACAGAUGACAUUAUCAGAACACACUAAUGCCUUAUUGAAUAUUAUGUUAGCGAAACAAAAAGUAAAUAAAAUUUAGGAAAUCUAUACAUCGUUCUUUCACACGACACGAAAUCAAUAUUUAAGAUCGAAAAUUGGCAAUCAAGAUAUAAGAUUAAAGAGAAGCAAGGUCUCUGUCUAGGAUACAGAUCAAUAAAUCAUAUCCAUUAUAAGACUAGAAUGAAUUUUUAAAUUAAAAUUUUAACAACAAUUACAUUUCUACCUGUUUCAAACUAAAUCAAAAAAUGACAAACAACCAAACUAAUGGAAAUAAAAAUAAAACAUAUGAAAAUCGCAGAGAAAGAACAUAUAAAAUGAAACUGGAAAUAAAAAAUGAAAAAACAGAGAUAGAAUAACACGGAGUCGGUAGUUCUUAAAUAAUGGAAUCAAGAAAUAGAAACAGAAAAACCAAAUAUAGAAACAGAUUAAGAUUAAAUAAACGGUGAAGGAACUCUUACCUGGAAGUUACCGGAAUGGACUGGAGGUAUCACCCGCUGCUCGCUAGACAGGAAGUAUCACCGCUGCUCGCCGGACAGGAAGUUAUAGUGCAUAUAAAUAUAUAGUGGCUAACUGGGUUGUUGUGUACCUGGAAAAGAAUUCCUAUGAAAGCCCAAAACUUGAAUAUGUCAUGGUGAUACAGUAUCCCGAACCCGGUCACAACCUACCAGCAACUAGAAGUCCAGAUAGCCUAAGAUGAGUUAAGGUACCUAUUCUAGGGUUGGGGAGGUCCCAAGUCGAAUCCUAGGAAGAUCGACUUUCCUGAGGAUCGACUUCUGAAUAAAGUCGAUCACCAGGAAAGUCGAUCCCCAGAAAGUCGAUCUCUGGAAAGUCGAUCUCGGGCCCCAAUCUGAUCAGUUAGGCGGUUACUGCCCAAAUGACCAGAUUACCCCCAUAAGAACCCCUAUAAAUAGGAGGCAUCCCCCACUCAUUAGAGGCAGGUCUUUUGGAGAGAAAGGAUUCCUAGCGAAGCAGAGCUCUGCGCACUUGAGUUCCGGUCCGGUUUCCCACGGAGUUCCCCGCUUGGCGCUUGCUUGUGCGUCUUGGAGUACUGGUCGGGUUUCACCCCCAUCAGUUGGCGCCGUCUGUGGGACUCGAACCUACGACCACAUGGUUUCCUCAACCAGAAGAGUUAAACCCUGCAACAAAAGAAGCUCGAACAAGGAGGAACAGGUAUUGUAAGUUCCACAAGGAUUACGGGCACAACACAGAAAACUGCAAGGAGCUAAGCACCUUCCUAGACACACAAGUGAAGGAAGGAAAGCUGAAACAGUACGUAAACAAAAUAGAGAGGGGGCGGCAAGGCUGCAAGGACCCAAAGAACAAGGGUAAGCGACAACGCUCAAGAACCCCCGAUUCAGACACUGACCACAAAAGAAGGGUGAUAAAUUUAAUCUUCGGUGGAGGAUCAGUAGGAGAAAGUAGAUGUUACUCGCGCAAGGUGAUGCAGACUACCACGAUACCAAAAUCUAAGAAAAGAUCGUACCCAAGCGAGGAAAUAAGCUUCUCUGAGGAAGAUCUGGACAACAUGGUCAGCCCACACGAAGAUCCGCUAGUAAUACAAGUGGACAUCGGGGAUGAUUUGAGUCUGAAUAAGGUGAUGGUGGACAACAGCAGCUCAGUAGACAUAUUGUACCUAGCUGCAUUCGAAAAAAUGGGCUACAAGGUGGACCAACUAGCCCCGGCCAAGGAAGCCAUUUAUGGGUUCACAAACACAAAGGCCCCAGUGGUAGGAGCCAUUGAUCUACAGAUAUCCCUGGGAAAAAGAAACGGAAGAGUAUCACGUACGGCACACUUCAUCGUGGUCGAUAUAGAUUCUCCGUUCAAUGGGAUCCUGGGCAGACCAAGCAUUCACGGUUUCAAGGCAAUACCGUCAUCUUACCACCAAUGCUUCAGGUACCCAGGAAAAGAUGGCAAAAUGGCAACAAUUUUCGGAGCACAGAAAGACUCCAGAAAGUCAUACAGGAAGGCAACUAAAAUGGCCAAACCAAUAACCCUGUACAUCCAAGAAAGAGAGGAGGAAGAAGACACAACUUCAGCCAAUCAAGUUGAGGAAGUCAAACUCUCAAAGGGCGGAGUCCUGAUAGGCACAUCUUUAUCCUCCGAGUUGAAAAAAUCACUACUGCAGCUGUUAGAAACUCAUGUGCACACAUUUGUAUGGGAAGGGGAAGCACCCUCAUAGGUACAACGUACUAUAACAUGCCAGGAACUCAACAUAGACAGCAGCUUUACUCCUAUUCGGCAAAGAAAAGAAUACUCGCAGCUGAAAGAAAAGAAGCAGCACAGGCUGAAAUUGAAAAAUUAAUCAAGGCUGGGCACAUCCGGGAAGUUAAAUAUCCAAAAUGGCUGGCAAACCCAGUCAUGGUAAAAAAAUCCAAUGGGAAGUGGAGGAUGUGUGUAGACUUCACAGACCUCAACAAAGCAUGUCCAAAAGACAGCUAUCCACUACCAUCCAUAGAUAGAUUAGUAGAUGCAGCAUCAGGAAAUGAAUUGCUAUCUAUGAUGGAUGCACAUUCAGGGUACAACCAUAUCCUAAUGAAAGAAGAUGAUGAAGAGGCCACGUCGUUCAUCACAGAAUGGGGAACAUACUGUUAUAAAGUCAUGCCCUUCGGCCUACGAAAUGCAGGAGCAACCUUCCAAAGGCUGAUGGACAAGGUUUUCAAAAAGCAGGAAGGGAGAAAUGUCCUGGCAUACGUAGAAGACAUUCUGGUAAAAUCCAAGAAAGCAGAUGAACACCCAAGUAAUCUGAAAGAAACCCUGGAAACUCUGCAGAAUUAUGGGAUGAGGUUAAACCCUGCCAAAUGCAGUUUUGGAGUAGAAGAAGGAAAGUUUCUUGAAUUCUAUGUAGGGCAAAACCAAAUCCAGAUUAAAUAACAACGAUACAAGAAACAGCACCACCUCGAACAAUAAAGGAGGUACAGUAGCAAAAUGGAAAAAUCAACGCCUUAAGUCGGUUUAUUUCCAAAACAGCAGACAAGUGCAAACCCUUUUUCCAGUUACUAAAAACUAGUCAAAAAGGGGCAAUAACAUGGACCUCAGAGUGUGAUGAGGCAUUUCAACAACUCAAAGCACAUCUGGCUUCUCUACCACACCUAAAUUCACCAAAGAUAGGGGAGGAAUUAUAUGUCUAUGUAGCAGCUUAAGAGGAGGCUAUCAGUGCAAUUCUAAUAUGUCAAAGGGACAACGAAUAAAUCCCGAUAUAUUAUCACUCUAAAAGGCUACAGGGGGCAGAAACAAGAUAUCCUCCAGUGGAAAAGAUAGUCCUGGCAGUAAUACUUGUAGCACGUAGAUUCAGAGUAUACUUUCUGGCUCAUACAAUUAAUGUCUUAACAGAACAUCCACUGCGCAGAAUUCUCCACAGGCCAGAUACUUGCGGAAGAUUGACGAAGUGGGCACUGGAGUUAAGCGAGUUCGAUGUAGAUUUUAUUCCUGCCACAACCAUCAAGGGGCAAGCAGUACCAGACUUCAUUGUAGACAUGACCCAAGAAAGCAAAGAAAAACCAUGGAUAGUGGAGGUUGAUGGCUCAAGCUGCAGUACAGGUGCAGGAGUGGGAAUAAAGAUAAUCACUCCAGACCAAAGGAUAUACGAACAUUCUAUCAUAUUACAGUUCUCAGCUACAAAUAACAUAGCAGAUUACGAAGCUGUAAUCCAAGGCAUGAGAAUCCUCAAAAGGUUGGGAGCCUGUUCAGUAAUCAUUAGAACAGAUUCUCAACUAGUGGCUCGACAAUUCACAGGAGAGUUCACAGUUAAAGAACCUCUGAUCGUACAAUACGCAACUACACUAGAAAAAAUCAAAGAGCAGUUCACCAAGGUGGAGGUAGAACAGAUUCCAAGGAGUCAGAAUAACUCAGCUGAUGCCCUGGCAAAGCUAGUAUCUGCUUUCGAGGGGGGCAGAGAGAGAUACUAGUUGACUCAGCAUCUACACCUUCGUGUAACUUGGUCACAAUACAGGCAGAAGACUGGAGGAAACCCUUGACAGAAUACUUCGAAGGGCAGAAACUUCCUGAGAACAAGAAUGAAAGGCGUAAGUUACAAACACGCAUUUCAAGAUUCUGCCUGAUCGGUGACACUCUAUAUAAGAAAUCCUACGAUGGAACUCUAAUGAAAUGUGUCUCGACAGAAGAAGGACAAUUCAUUGUAGAGGAGAUUCAUCAGGGGGUAUGUGGAAUACAUCAAGGGGGGAGGUCUCUAGCCCAAAGAAUAAUAAGGCAGGGAUACUUCUGGCCCACACUGAAAAAAGAUGCAGUCCUAUUCGCAAGAAAAUACAAGGCCUGCCAAAUACACAAAAACAUACAGAGAAAUCCCGCAACUCAGCUAACAGGGGUAGAAAGCCCCAUCCCCUUCGCAAUGUGGGGAUUAGACAUUGUGGGACCAUUUCCAGUAUCAACAGGCCAGGCUAAAUUCAUAUUUGUGGCUGUCGAUUACUUCACCAAAUGGGUCGAAGCACUAGCUGUACUCAAAAUAACUUAAGGAGCAGCAACAAAGUUUGUCUUCAAGUGCAUAGUGUGCAGAUUCGGUGUUCCAAUGCACAUAGUGACAGAUAAUGGGACACAGUUACCGGUGGGGAGUUUACGAGAUUGUGCGAAAACAUGGGCACUAGAAUCCAUUUUUCAUCGGUAUACAGACCACAGGGUAAUGGGCAAAUAGAGGUCACUGAUGAAGCACUGAAUCUGCUACCAGGGCUCGCGGUGGUGUGAGGUUGAUGCCCUAGGCUUUGGAGUCCACGACGCACGCUCUACGUCAAAUACCUGCAAGGAGAAACUAGGCGAUUCUAGUGAGAAUCGGCGAGUUUCGUAGUGGUGCUCUGGUGUGAGGGAGGAACUUGAAUCGUGCCUUUGAGUGUCCCCUUGAUACCCUUUUUAUAGGAUCCCGGAGGGCGCAAUCAAAGGCGGACAUCGCGCCUAUGGUCAUAUAUGGUAACAUUUAUGACGUUGGCUGGCGGCGAGUAACGGUCGUAAGUCGCCGAUUCAGGUAUGGAAGUCGCC